rnacentral:rRNA from 1 species
GGUUAAGCGACUAAGCGUACACGGUGGAUGCCCUGGCAGUCAGAGGCGAUGAAGGACGUGCUAAUCUGCGAUAAGCGUCGGUAAGGUGAUAUGAACCGUUAUAACCGGCGAUUUCCGAAUGGGGAAACCCAGUGUGAUUCGUCACACUAUCAUUAACUGAAUCCAUAGGUUAAUGAGGCGAACCGGGGGAACUGAAACAUCUAAGUACCCCGAGGAAAAGAAAUCAACCGAGAUUCCCCCAGUAGCGGCGAGCGAACGGGGAGCAGCCCAGAGCCUGAAUCAGUGUGUGUGUUAGUGGAAGCGUCUGGAAAGGCGCGCGAUACAGGGUGACAGCCCCGUACACAAAAAUGCACAUGCUGUGAGCUCGAUGAGUAGGGCGGGACACGUGGUAUCCUGUCUGAAUAUGGGGGACCAUCCUCCAAGGCUAAAUACUCCUGACUGACCGAUAGUGAACCAGUACCGUGAGGGAAAGGCGAAAAGAACCCCGGCGAGGGGAGUGAAAAAGAACCUGAAACCGUGUACGUACAAGCAGUGGGAGCACGCUUAGGCGUGUGACUGCGUACCUUUUGUAUAAUGGGUCAGCGACUUAUAUUCUGUAGCAAGGUUAACCGAAUAGGGGAGCCGAAGGGAAACCGAGUCUUAACUGGGCGUUAAGUUGCAGGGUAUAGACCCGAAACCCGGUGAUCUAGCCAUGGGCAGGUUGAAGGUUGGGUAACACUAACUGGAGGACCGAACCGACUAAUGUUGAAAAAUUAGCGGAUGACUUGUGGCUGGGGGUGAAAGGCCAAUCAAACCGGGAGAUAGCUGGUUCUCCCCGAAAGCUAUUUAGGUAGCGCCUCGUGAACUCAUCUCCGGGGGUAGAGCACUGUUUCGGCAAGGGGGUCAUCCCGACUUACCAACCCGAUGCAAACUGCGAAUACCGGAGAAUGUUAUCACGGGAGACACACGGCGGGUGCUAACGUCCGUCGUGAAGAGGGAAACAACCCAGACCGCCAGCUAAGGUCCCAAAGUCAUGGUUAAGUGGGAAACGAUGUGGGAAGGCCCAGACAGCCAGGAUGUUGGCUUAGAAGCAGCCAUCAUUUAAAGAAAGCGUAAUAGCUCACUGGUCGAGUCGGCCUGCGCGGAAGAUGUAACGGGGCUAAACCAUGCACCGAAGCUGCGGCAGCGACGCUUAUGCGUUGUUGGGUAGGGGAGCGUUCUGUAAGCCUGUGAAGGUGUGCUGUGAGGCAUGCUGGAGGUAUCAGAAGUGCGAAUGCUGACAUAAGUAACGAUAAAGCGGGUGAAAAGCCCGCUCGCCGGAAGACCAAGGGUUCCUGUCCAACGUUAAUCGGGGCAGGGUGAGUCGACCCCUAAGGCGAGGCCGAAAGGCGUAGUCGAUGGGAAACAGGUUAAUAUUCCUGUACUUGGUGUUACUGCGAAGGGGGGACGGAGAAGGCUAUGUUGGCCGGGCGACGGUUGUCCCGGUUUAAGCGUGUAGGCUGGUUUUCCAGGCAAAUCCGGAAAAUCAAGGCUGAGGCGUGAUGACGAGGCACUACGGUGCUGAAGCAACAAAUGCCCUGCUUCCAGGAAAAGCCUCUAAGCAUCAGGUAACAUCAAAUCGUACCCCAAACCGACACAGGUGGUCAGGUAGAGAAUACCAAGGCGCUUGAGAGAACUCGGGUGAAGGAACUAGGCAAAAUGGUGCCGUAACUUCGGGAGAAGGCACGCUGAUAUGUAGGUGAAGUCCCUCGCGGAUGGAGCUGAAAUCAGUCGAAGAUACCAGCUGGCUGCAACUGUUUAUUAAAAACACAGCACUGUGCAAACACGAAAGUGGACGUAUACGGUGUGACGCCUGCCCGGUGCCGGAAGGUUAAUUGAUGGGGUCAGCGCAAGCGAAGCUCUUGAUCGAAGCCCCGGUAAACGGCGGUACGUAACUAUAACGGUCCUAAGGUAGCGAAAUUCCUUGUCGGGUAAGUUCCGACCUGCACGAAUGGCGUAAUGAUGGCCAGGCUGUCUCCACCCGAGACUCAGUGAAAUUGAACUCGCUGUGAAGAUGCAGUGUACCCGCGGCAAGACGGAAAGACCCCGUGAACCUUUACUAUAGCUUGACACUGAACAUUGAGCCUUGAUGUGUAGGAUAGGUGGGAGGCUUAGAAGUGUGGACGCCAGUCUGCAUGGAGCCGACCUUGAAAUACCACCCUUUAAUGUUUGAUGUUCUAACGUUGACCCGUAAUCCGGGUUGCGGACAGUGUCUGGUGGGUAGUUUGACUGGGGCGGUCUCCUCCUAAAGAGUAACGGAGGAGCACGAAGGUUGGCUAAUCCUGGUCGGACAUCAGGAGGUUAGUGCAAUGGCAUAAGCCAGCUUGACUGCGAGCGUGACGGCGCGAGCAGGUGCGAAAGCAGGUCAUAGUGAUCCGGUGGUUCUGAAUGGAAGGGCCAUCGCUCAACGGAUAAAAGGUACUCCGGGGAUAACAGGCUGAUACCGCCCAAGAGUUCAUAUCGACGGCGGUGUUUGGCACCUCGAUGUCGGCUCAUCACAUCCUGGGGCUGAAGUAGGUCCCAAGGGUAUGGCUGUUCGCCAUUUAAAGUGGUACGCGAGCUGGGUUUAGAACGUCGUGAGACAGUUCGGUCCCUAUCUGCCGUGGGCGCUGGAGAACUGAGGGGGGCUGCUCCUAGUACGAGAGGACCGGAGUGGACGCAUCACUGGUGUUCGGGUUGUCAUGCCAAUGGCACUGCCCGGUAGCUAAAUGCGGAAGAGAUAAGUGCUGAAAGCAUCUAAGCACGAAACUUGCCCCGAGAUGAGUUCUCCCUGACCCUUUAAGGGUCCUGAAGGAACGUUGAAGACGACGACGUUGAUAGGCCGGGUGUGUAAGCGCAGCGAUGCGUUGAGCUAACCGGUACUAAUGAACCGUGAGGCUUAACCUU